rnacentral:rRNA from 1 species
UGCCAGCCGCCGCGGUAAUACGAAGGGUGCUAGCGUUGUUCGGAAUUACUGGGCGUAAAGAGCAUGUAGGCGGAUGAAUUAGUCAGAGGUGAAAGCCCCGAGCUCAACUUGGGAACUGCCUUUGAUACUGUAUAUCUAGAGCGUGUCAGGGGUAAGCGGAAUUCCCGGAGUAGCGGUGAAAUGCGUAGAUAUCGGGAAGAACACCGGUGGCGAAGGCGGCUUACUGGGACAUGACUGACGCUGAGGCACGAAAGCGUGGGGAGCGAACGGGAUUAGAUA